rnacentral:tRNA from 2 species
GGAGAGGUGGCCGAGUGGUUUAAGGCAGCGGUCUUGAAAACCGCCGUGCGGGCAACCGUACCGUGGGUUCGAAUCCCACCUUCUCCGCCA